rfam:Xenorhabdus beddingii strain DSM 4764 Xbed_32, whole genome shotgun sequence.
CCUGUUAUGCAACUAACAGUAGCCUAGGGACAGUGCGUCAUCAGUAAUGGUGGGGUGCCAAGCGUCCUGACAAUGUACUCCCUGAAUUUCAGGUAUCGUCUCUCCGUGAGGUGGGCAAUAGAUUUCACUAGUAGCAGGUGGAUGAGAGG